GGCCCCCCUGCUCUCUACAGGACUCUUUCCUUCUGGAGUGCCCACCAAUGACUCACUCCCGUCCAUUCCUUACCUUUAAGGGAAUCUUUAGCCUUUGAACAGAGACCAAAAAGGCAAACAAUUAUCAGAGGCCCUCCUGUAGGUGCAGAGCUCACACUGGCUGCUUCUGACCACGCAGGGCGUAACUGCCUGUUGACAAAGGUUGCCAACCAACUUCCCCAAGGGUUUGUAUUACUUAGUGCUUGCUCAGACAAUUGUUGCUGUAAAGAGCUACAACCCCUCUCCUCCCUGGUCAGAGCAAGGCUGAAAAUGGGUUUACAGCAAUCUGACUGCAUAAGGCCUUGGUGAAAUGGACCCGCCUCCAUCCAGCCCCUGGCACACCGAGACAUGAUUUAAAUUGGAGUACCAAUGAUAAGAUUACAGACAGGGUGGUAAUGUGAAGAAUUGGAAGGCUGCUAUCAAAAAACUGAUUCUCCUUGGCAGCAAAGAAGCCCACGAUAGCAUACCCAAGAAGUGAAAUGCAGCAUUCCUCCUCUUCAUCUGGAGCAUUCUGAAGUUGAACAGAUGUCUUUAAAUGUGGGAACUUUUCUGCUAUGAUAAAUAUGUCUUCAUGACAAACUCAAGCCACUGACCUCCAGGUGGAGCUGCAUGAAAGAGAGAGAGAAGGGAAAAGAGAAGAAACCAGGUUGGCACCCCAGAGAAGCAGAUAGCCUGAGAAAGACACAAUGAAACACAAAGAUGAUGCAUGGUCCUUAGGGGAUUUUCAGGGAAGAGAGUG